rnacentral:sRNA from 1 species
GCCGGGCACGGUGGCACAUGCCUAUAAUCCCAGUGGCUUGGGAGGCUGAGACAGGAGGAUCGCGAGUUCAAAGCCAGCCUCUGCAAAAUCGAGGCACUAAGCAACUCGGUGAGACCCUGUCUCUA